GGGGGUGCACCGGUUUCGACUGGUACGGUUCGGGGUGCAGACUGCAGGUGGAGCGCCGAUCUCCUGAUUCGGCAAAACAUUAACUGCCAAUAACGACAGUUACGAUUACGCCUUAGCUGCGUAACCGCGUGGAACCCUUCCGCCGCCUUGAGGGAGGACUUCCGCGUCGCAAUCAGGGCUGGUCAAUCCCGGUUUCCGGACCGGGUGCGAUAAGAUAAUUCCGGAAUACGGAUGGCCGCGCGCCGCUUAGCCAAGCCAAUCCCGACAAUUCGAUAAGUGGCUAAACCUGUAGAAGCUUGUAUUUCGCGUAUCAGGACGCGGGUUCGAUUCCCGCCACCUCCAAAA
rnacentral:tmRNA from 1 species